rnacentral:rRNA from 1 species
UACGAGGGGGGCGAGCGUUGUUCGGAAUUAUUGGGCGUAAAGGGUGUGUAGGCGGUUCUUUAAGUUUGGUGUGAAAUCUCCCGGCUCAACCGGGAGGGUGCGCCGAAUACUGAGGAGCUAGAGUGCGGGAGAGGAAAGUGGAAUUCCUGGUGUAGCGGUGAAAUGCGUAGAUAUCAGGAGGAACACCGGUGGUGUAGACGGCUUUCUGGACCGUAACUGACGCUGAGACACGAAAGCGUGGGUAGCAAACAGG